ACGGGAGGCAGCAGUGGGGAAUAUUGCACAAUGGGCGAAAGCCUGAUGCAGCGACGCCGCGUGAGUGAAGAAGUAUUUCGGUAUGUAAAGCUCUAUCAGCAGGGAAGAAAAUGACGGUACCUGACUAAGAAGCUCCGGCUAAAUACGUGCCAGCAGCCGCGGUAAUACGUAUGGAGCAAGCGUUAUCCGGAUUUACUGGGUGUAAAGGGAGCGUAGACGGUGUGGUAAGUCUGAAGUGAAAGCUCGAGGCUCAACUUCGGAAUUGCUUUGGAAACUAUCAUACUAGAGUGCAGGAGAGGCAAGUGGAAUUCCUAGUGUAGCGGUGAAAUGCGUAGAUAUUAGGAGGAACACCAGUGGCGAAGGCGGCUUGCUGGACUGUAACUGACGUUGAGGCUCGAAAGCGUGGGGAGCAAACAGGAUUAGAUACCCUGGUA
rnacentral:rRNA from 1 species